rnacentral:rRNA from 1 species
AUUGAACGCUGGCGGAAUGCUUUACACAUGCAAGUCGAACGGCAGCACGGACUUCGGUCUGGUGGCGAGUGGCGAACGGGUGAGUAAUGUAUCGGAACGUGCCCAGUCGUGGGGGAUAACGUAGUGAAAAUUACGCUAAUACCGCAUACGAUCUAUGGAUGAAAGCGGGGGAUCGCAAGACCUCGCGCGAUUGGAGCGGCCGAUAUCAGAUUAGGUAGUUGGUGGGGUAAAGGCCCACCAAGCCAACGAUCUGCAGGUGGUCUGAGAGGACGACCAGCCACACUGGAACUGAGACACGGUCCAGACUCCUACGGGCGGCAGCAGUGGGGAAUUUUGGACAAUGGGCGAAAGCGUGAUCCAGCCAUUCCGCGUGCAGGAUGAAGGCCCUCGGGUUGUAAACUGCUUUUGUACAGAACGAAAAGGUUUCUACUAAUACUAGGAGCUCAUGACGGUACUGUAAGAAUAAGCACCGGCUAACUACGUGCCAGCCGCCGCCGUAA